GAACGAACGCUGGCGGCAGGCUUAACACAUGCAAGUCGAACGAUAUAGUGGCAGACGGGUGAGUAACGCGUGGAAACGUGCCUUUCACUACGGAAUAGCUUUUGGAAACGAAAGGUAAUACCGUAUACGCCCUCCGGGGGAAAGAUUUAUCGGUGAAAGAUCGGUCCGCGUUAGAUUAGCUAGUUGGUGAGGUAACGGCUCACCAAGGCUACGAUCUAUAGCUGGUCUGAGAGGAUGAUCAGCCACACUGGGACUGAGACACGGCCCAGACUCCUACGGGAGGCAGCAGUGGGGAAUAUUGCACAAUGGGCGCAAGCCUGAUGCAGCCAUGCCGCGUGAAUGAUGAAGGCCUUAGGGUUGUAAAAUUCUUUCGCCAAGGAUGAUAAUGACAGUACUUGGUAAAGAAGCCCCGGCUAACUUCGUGCCAGCAGCCGCGGUAAUACGAAGGGGGCUAGCGUUGUUCGGAAUUACUGGGCGUAAAGCGCACGUAGGCGGACUUUUAAGUCAGAUGUGAAAUCCCGAGGCUCAACCUCGGAACUGCAUUUGAAACUGGGAGUCUAGAGAUCAGGAGAGGUUAGCGGAAUACCGAGUGUAGAGGUGAAAUUUCGUAGAUAUUCGGUGGAACACCAGUGGCGAAGGCGGCUAACUGGACUGAUACUGACGCUGAGGUGCGAAAGUGUGGGGAGCAAACAGGAUUAGAUACCCUGGUAGUCCACACCGUAAACGAUGAGUGCUAGUUGUCUGCAGGCAUGCCUGUAGGUGACGCAGCUAACGCAUUAAGCACUCCGCCUGGGGAGUACGGCCGCAAGGUUAAAACUCAAAGAAAUUGACGGGGGCCCGCACAAGCGGUGGAGCAUGUGGUUUAAUUCGAAGCAACGCGCAGAACCUUACCUACGCUUGACAUGCCCGGACGAUUUCCAGAGAUGGAUCUCUCCCUUCGGGGCCGGUGCACAGGUGCUGCAUGGCUGUCGUCAGCUCGUGUCGUGAGAUGUUGGGUUAAGUCCCGCAACGAGCGCAACCCUCAUCCUUAGUUGCCAUCACGUUUGGGUGGGCACUCUAGGGAAACUGCCGGUGCUAAGCCGGAGGAAGGCGGGGAUGACGUCAAGUCCUCAUGGCCCUUACGCGUAGGGCUACACACGUGCUACAAUGGCAGUGACAAUGGGAUAAUCCCCAAAAGCUGUCUCAGUUCGGAUUGUCGGCUGCAACUCGCCGGCAUGAAGUUGGAAUCGCUAGUAAUCGUGGAUCAGCAUGCCACGGUGAAUACGUUCCCGGGCCUUGUACACACCGCCCGUCACACCAUGGGAGUUGGAUCUACCCGAAGAUUGUGAGCUAACUUCGGAGGCAGCAAGCCACGGUAGGUUCAGCGACUGGGGU
rnacentral:rRNA from 1 species